UACGUAGGGUGCAAGCGUUAAUCGGAAUUACUGGGCGUAAAGCGUGCGCAGGCGGUUUUGUAAGUCAGUGGUGAAAUACUCCAGCUUAACUGGAGGGGUGCCAUUGAUACUGCGGAGCUUGAGUACAGAUGAGGUAGGCGGAAUUGACGGUGUAGCGGUGAAAUGCAUAGAUAUCGUCAAGAACACCGAUAGCGAAGGCAGCUUACUGGGCUGUAACUGACGCUGAUGCACGAAAGUGUGGGGAUCAAACAGG
rnacentral:rRNA from 1 species